UACGAAGGGGGCUAGCGUUGCUCGGAAUCACUGGGCGUAAAGGGUGCGUAGGCGGGUCUUUAAGUCAGGGGUGAAAUCCUGGAGCUCAACUCCAGAACUGCCUUUGAUACUGAAGAUCUUGAGUUCGGGAGAGGUGAGUGGAACUGCGAGUGUAGAGGUGAAAUUCGUAGAUAUUCGCAAGAACACCGGUGGCGAAGGCGGCCACCUGGACGGAUACUGACGCUGAGACGCGAAAGCGUGGGGAGCAAACAGG
rnacentral:rRNA from 1 species